UUCGCAAUGCCCGAAAGGGUGACGAAGCGACGCCGCGUGUGGGAAGAAGGCCUUCGGGUUGUAAACCACUGUCGGGAGUUAAGAAAUGCAAGGGUGUUAAUAGCGCCCUUGCUUGACUAAGGCUCCGGAGGAAGCCACGGCUAACUCUGUGCCAGCAGCCGCGGUAAUACAGAGGCGGCAAGCGUUGUUCGGAAUUAUUGGGCGUAAAGAGCACGUAGGCGGCCUUGUAAGUCAGUUGUGAAAGCCUUCUGCUCAACGGAAGAACAGCAUCCGAUACUGCAUGGCUCGAGUGCGGAAGGGGAGAGUGGAACUUCUGGUGGAGCGGUGAAAUGCGUAGAUAUCAGAAGGAACACCGGCGGCGAAGGCGACUCUCUGGUCCGUAACUGACGCUGAGUGUGCGAAAGCUAGGGGAGCAAACGGGAUUAGAUACCCCGGUAGUCCUAGCCGUAAACGAUGGGCACUAAGUAGAGGGGUUUU
rnacentral:rRNA from 1 species